rnacentral:lncRNA from 1 species
UUGUUUCGAUUAACCAUUAUGAUUUUAUCAUUCUUUAACAUUCAAUAUUCCUAUUAGUUGUUCAUUAGAUUGAUCUACCAUCGCUUUUCUUUUCUGAUAGUUAAAUGUCAUCGACACCAAGGUGUUAGGGUUCUUACCAUAAUGGUCUCUCCUUGGAUCAAGAAAGGCACCUGUUUGAUUAGAUUCCAGUUAAUAUCCAGGCUAUAAACGAAUCAAAGUUGGCAUCUGUAUGGGUACGAAUUACAAGGCUGCGUUAAUUCCGCAGCGAAUACGAGAUACAAUCCAUGGACCUCUGCAAUCCAUCAACUUGAUCAGGGUCCUUCUUCGUGUAAAAAGAAGGUUUAGUCUCAUUUUUAAGCCAUAAUCAGAAGUAAUUUUUGAAGAAUCAUCCAUUGUGGCACUGUUUGGGAAACAAGCUAUUUGAUGAUAAACUUACUGAUCGGAUCCACGAGACAUAUACCGUUUAGCAAUUUCAACCCAUUUUGCACGGUUUUAAUAUUUUUUUAUUUUACUAAGAUUACUAACUCGGAUUUAGUUUUGCCCCCUUUAUUUUUCUCAAGAAGCUAAAGUUGAUGAAAACAUGGCUACAAGCUCCCUUAUAACAGUUGGCUCAUGGGGAUGGGAUUGGUGGCACAAGGAGACUUUAAAAACCAAGGGUCAAAGGAAGAACACAUGGAAAUUAUAACUGAAAAUCAACCGGGCCGCCUUUUAUGAUGCAGUUUUGUUCACGAUACCAUGUGCAUGACUAUUGACACACAAGGUGUUAUCUGCUAAGGGUAAUGAAGUUAUGGAUAUUGCCAUAAAGGCCGAUUUGGUUGUCUUGAACACGACUGUUGUUGGUAAAUGGUCUUCUGAACAAAGAUGCCUUCACGUGCUUCCAAAAGUGAUAUGGUGGAUUCAUGAGAUGCGAGGUGUGUAAAAUUUGUUAUGAUUAGAGGUGGCAAUUUCGACAUAAGGUGUCAAUUUGUAUUGUAUUUUAUUGGUAAAAGGUCAAAUGUUGAGAUCUAACUAUGAAAAGAAAUGGGUCAAAAGUCAUACUUAUUAC